GCGGAAGAAGGUUAGACAAUGGGGUGCAUUGCAUAAUGAGUUCAACCUGGGGACCUGCUAUUUUUAUUGUCUUUUCUACAAGUUCCGAUGAAACAUCUCAUUCAGAUUUUUUAAAAAGCAUGUGAUGCUUUUGAUGUUAUUAUGGCAAAUAACGGUUCACCUCAUUCAAACCAGACCAAACUUGAUUUCGGACACACAAUUCUAAUCUGCAUCUAUGCUGUUACCAUUUUCUUCAUGAUUGUACUUGGAUGCCUUUGCCUAAACAAGUAUCGGUCAAUGAAGAAGAUCAUACGGGAGCUGAGGCAAGGGAGGCCGGCUGUGAUCCCCCAGGUUCCUUCCCAAGAUUCUCCCCCUCCAUCUCCUGGUGUCCUGAAAAUUCCUGAACGGCCGGACCGUACUACAGAGAAACCAUUACAGAGACAACAAACUAAAUCGAGCUGCAGAUUUCCCUGGAAGCCUCCA